CCAACAGCGUAUAUUAAAGUUGUUGCAGUUAAAAAGCUCGUAGUUGAAUUUCGGGGUUAGUAGGUUGGUCAUGCCUCUGGUAUGUACUGGUCUCACUGAUUCCUCCUUCCUGAUGAACCGUAAUGCCAUUAAUUUGGUGUUGCGGGGAAUUUGGACUGUUACUUUGAAAAAAUUAGAGUGUUUAAAGCAAGCUAACGCUUGAAUACAUUAGCAUGGAAUAAUGAAAUAGGACGUUCGAUCCUAUUUUGUUGGUUUCUAGGAUUGACGUAAUGAUUAAUAGGGAUAGUUGGGGGCAUUAGUAUUCAAUUGUCAGAGGUGAAAUUCUUGGAUUUAUUGAAGACUAACUACUGCGAAAGCAUUUGCCAAGGAUGUUUUCAUUAAUCAAGAACGAAAGUUAGGGGAUCGAAGACGAUCAGAUACCGUCGUAGUCUUAACCAUAAACUAUGCCGACUAGGGAUCGGAUGAUGUUAAUUUUUUAAUGACUCAUUCGGCGCCUUACG
rnacentral:rRNA from 1 species